UGAAAGAGUGAGUAAUGCGUGUUCUGGCUGAGAGGGAGCUCUUCUGUCUAUGAGAUCACUGAGCCUAUGGGAACAGGCACACUGAGGACCCAGAACAGGAAAGCUUGGAGGAGAGGCAGCGAAUCAGAGCUCAGAUCCGAGAGCUACGCAGUCAGGAUACCCAAAACCGAGAGCUGCAGAGAGCAGGGAAGACGCCCAGAAUGGUUUUAAUCCUGGAUCCUCUCAACAAAGAGGAGCCCUCUGGGCCGGUAUC